CAGCAGCCGCGGGAAUACGGAGGGUGCAAGCGUUAAUCGGAAUUACUGGGCGUAAAGCGCACGCAGGCGGUCUGACAAGUCAGAUGUGAAAUCCCCGGGCUUAACCUGGGAACUGCAUUUGAAACUGUCAGGCUGGAGUCUUGUAGAGGGGGGUGGAAUUCCAGGUGUAGCGGUGAAAUGCGUAGAGAUCUGGAGGAAUACCGGUGGCGAAGGCGGCUCCCUGGACAAAGACUGACGCUCAGGUGCGAAAGCGUGGGGAGCAAACAGGAUUAGAUACCCCGGUAGUCCCUGUCUCUUAUAU
rnacentral:rRNA from 1 species